rnacentral:misc_RNA from 1 species
UACGUCAUCCCUACAUGUCAAGCCCUGGUAAGGUUCUUCGCGUUGCGUCGAAUUAAGCAACAUGCUCCGCCGCUUGUGCGGGCCCCCGUCAAUUCCUUUGAGUUUUAGCCUUGCGGCCGUACUCCCCAGGCGGGGCGCUUAAUGCGUUAGCUUCGGCACGGGAGGAGUCGACACCUCCCACACCUAGUGCCCAUCGUUUACGGCGUGGACUAC